rnacentral:ncRNA from 1 species
CCGCGGAGUAGAAGCGUUCACCGUUUCGCCUUUGCAGGACGCCCCGGGCCGGCGCGUCCUGCGGGCGUAUCGGCCGGAAAUUGCUCCCGGA